rnacentral:rRNA from 1 species
GACGAACGCUGGCGGCGUGCUUAACACAUGCAAGUCGAACGGAAAGGCCCUGCUUGCAGGGUGCUCGAGUGGCGAACGGGUGAGUAACACGUGGGUGAUCUGCUCCUUACUUUGGGAUAAGCCUGGGAAACUGGGUCUAAUACUGGAUAGGACCAUGCUGUAGGUGGUGUGGUGGAAAGAUUUUUUCGGUAAGGGAUGAGCUCGCGGCCUAUCAGCUUGUUGGUGGGGUAAUGGCCUACCAAGGCGUCGACGGGUAGCCGGCCUGAGAGGGUGGACGGCCACAUUGGGACUGAGAUACGGCCCAGACUCCUACGGGAGGCAGCAGUGGGGAAUAUUGCACAAUGGGCGCAAGCCUGAUGCAGCGACGCCGCGUGGGGGAUGACGGCCUUCGGGUUGUAAACUCCUUUCAGCCAUGACGAAGCCUCUUUUGGGGUGACGGUAGUGGUAGAAGAAGCACCGGCUAACUACGUG